rnacentral:rRNA from 1 species
GAUGAACGCUGGCGGCGUGCCUAAUACAUGCAAGUCGAGCGAACGGACGAGAAGCUUGCUUCUCUGAUGUUAGCGGCGGGCGGGUGAGUAACACGUGGAUAACCUACCUAUAAGACUGGGAUAACUUCGGGAAACCGUAGCUAAUACCGGAUAAUAUUUUGAACCGCAUGGUUCAAAAGUGAAAGACGGUCUUGCUGUCACUUAUAGAUGGAUCCGCGCUGCAUUAGCUAGUUGGUAAGGUAACGGCUUACCAAGGCAACGAUGCAUAGCCGACCUGAGAGGGUGAUCGGCCACACUGGAACUGAGACACGGUCCAGACUCCUACGGGAGGCAGCAGUAGGGAAUCUUCCGCAAUGGGCGAAAGCCUGACGGAGCAACGCCGCGUGAGUGAUGAAGGUCUUCGGAUCGUAAAACUCUGUUAUUAGGGAAGAACAUAUGUGUAAGUAACUGUGCACAUCUUGACGGUACCUAAUCAGAAAGCCACGGCUAACCACGUG